rnacentral:rRNA from 1 species
UACGGGAGGCAGCAGUGGGGAAUAUUGCACAAUGGGCGCAAGCCUGAUGCAGCCAUGCCGCGUGUAUGAAAAAGGCCUUCGGGUUGUAAAGUACUUUCAGUCGUGAGGAAGGUGUUAAGGUUAAUAACCUUAGCAAUUGACGUUAGCGACAGAAGAAGCACCGGCUAACUCCGUGCCAGCAGCCGCGGUAAUACGGAGGGUGCGAGCGUUAAUCGGAAUUAUUGGGCGUAAAGGGCACGCAGGCGGUUAAUUAAGUUGGAUGUGAAAUCCCCGGGCUUAACCUGGGAAUGGCAUUCAAGACUGGUUAGCUAGAGUCUUGUAGAGGGGGUAGAAUUCCAUGUGUAGCGGUGAAAUGCGUAGAGAUGUGGAGGAAUACCGGUGGCGAAGGCGGCCCCUGGGACAAAGACUGACGCUCAUGUGCGAAAGCGUGGGGAGCAAAC